rnacentral:rRNA from 1 species
ACGUAGGCACCAAGCGUUGUCCGGAUUUAUUGGGCGUAAAGAGCUCGUAGGCGGUUCAGUAAGUCGGGUGUGAAAACUCUGGGCUUAACCCAGAGCCGCCACUCGAUACUGCUGUGACUUGAGUUCGGUAGGGGAGCAGGGAAUUCCUAGUGUAGCGGUGAAAUGCGCAGAUAUUAGGAGGAACACCGGUGGCGAAGGCGCUGCUCUGGGCCGAUACUGACGCUGAGGAGCGAAAGCGUGGGUAGCAAACAGGAUUAGAUACCCUGGUAGUCCACGCCGUAAACGUUGGGCACUAGGUGUGGGUUCCAACCAACGGAAUCCGCGCCGUCGCUAACGCAUUAAGUGCCCCGCCUGGGGAGUACGGCGGCAACGCUA